rnacentral:rRNA from 1 species
UACGUAGGGUGCGAGCGUUAAUCGGAAUUACUGGGCGUAAAGCGUGCGCAGGCGGUUUUGUAAGCCAGAUGUGAAAGCCCCGGGCUUAACCUGGGAAUGGCAUUUGGGACUGCAAGGCUUGAGUGCGGCAGAGGAGACUGGAAUUCCUGGUGUAGCAGUGAAAUGCGUAGAUAUCAGGAGGAAUACCGAUGGCGAAGGCAGGU